GCCACCUUAGCUCAGUUGGUAGAGCAAUGCAUUCGUAACGCAUAGGUCGUCGGUUCAAAUCCGACAGGUGGCU
rnacentral:tRNA from 1 species